rnacentral:rRNA from 1 species
AUUGAACGCUGGCGGCAGGCCUAACACAUGCAAGUCGAACGAGUGGCGGACGGGAGAGUAAUGUCUGGGAAACUGCCUGAUGGAGGGGGAUAACUACUGGAAACGGUAGCUAAUACCGCAUACCAUCAGAUGUGCCCAGAUGGGAUUAGCUAGUAGGUGGGGUAACGGCUCACCUAGGCGACGAUCCCUAGCUGGUCUGAGAGGAUAACAAGCAACACGGGAACUGAGACACGGGCCAGACUCCUGCGGUAGGGAGCAGUGGGGAAUAUUGCACAAUGGGCGCAAGCCUGAUGCAGCGAUGCCGCGUGUGUGAAGAAGGCCUUCGGGUUGUAAAGCACUUUCAGCGGGGAGGCGUUACCCGCAGAAGAAGCACCGGCUAACUCCGUGCCAGCAGCCGCGGUAAUAC